rnacentral:rRNA from 1 species
GACGAACGCUGGCGGCGUGCCUAAUACAUGCAAGUAGAACGCACAGUUUAUACCGUAGCUUGCUACACCAUAAACUGUGAGUUGCGAACGGGUGAGUAACGCGUAGGUAACCUGCCUGGUAGCGGGGGAUAACUAUUGGAAACGAUAGCUAAUACCGCAUAAUAUUGAUUAUUGCAUGAUAAUUGAUUGAAAGAUGCUAUUGCAUCACUACCAGAUGGACCUGCGUUGUAUUAGCUAGUAGGUGAGGUAACGGCUCACCUAGGCGACGAUACAUAGCCGACCUGAGAGGGUGAUCGGCCACACUGGGACUGGGACCCGGCCCAGACUCCUACGGGAGGCAGCAGUAGGGAAUCUUCGGCAAUGGACGAAAGUCUGACCGAGCAACGCCGCGUGAGUGAAGAAGGUUUUCGGAUCGUAAAGCUCUGUUGUAAGAGAAGAACGGGUGUGAGAGUGGAAAGUUCACACUGUGACGGUAUCUUACCAGAAAGGGACGGCUAACUACGUG